AGGGCUGUAGUUAAAUAUAAUAUUUGGGUUGCAUUCAAAAGGUGUUGAUUAUAUCAACCUGUCUUU
rnacentral:tRNA from 1 species